rnacentral:rRNA from 1 species
AGCUUAACUCCGAAACUGCAUUCGAUACUGCCGUGCUUGAGGACUGGAGAGGAGACUGGAAUUUACGGUGUAGCGGUGAAAUGCGUAGAGAUCGUAAGGAAGACCAGUGGCGAAGGCGGGUCUCUGGACAGUUNCCUGACACUGAGGCACGAAGGCCAGGGGAGCAAACGGGAUUAGAUACCCCGGUAGUCCUGGCAGUAAACGGUGCACGUUUGGUGUGGGAGGAUUCGACCCCUUGCUGCGCCGGAGCUAACGCGUUAAACGUGCCGCCUGGGGAGUACGGUCGCAAGAUUAAAACUCAAAGAAAUUGACGGGGGCCCGCACAAGCGGUGGAGUAUGUGGCUUAAUUCGAUGCAACGCGAAGAACCUUACC